UCGGGGCGGGCAGCGGGCGGCCCCAACCCCGACCCGCGAUCUCGACCUCGGCCCUGGCCCAGACCCUGUCCCCCAGACCCCGGACCCCGGCCUCCCCGACGGCCGCCUUGACAGGAGUGGCGGUGUAAUUGCAAGAUGACUCACGCUGGAUGUUUUUAUUCUCCUGAGACCCAACGGAGUGCUAGAGCUGGAGAACCUGGUGACUGAGCUCCGGGUGUUUUUAGAGCCAGCUUCAAGUCCGCAUGCAGAUGCACAAUUAUGGAAGAGCUCUUUGCACAAUCGGAGACCGUCAUUCAGAGCGUUAUUACCUCCAGGAUGAAAUCCAGUCUGUCUUGCUCUCUGCAGACUGACCUCAGGCUUGCUUUCUUUUCUUCCUUUUUUUUUUUUUUUUUCUUUAAAAUUUUAGGAAAUACUAAUAUCUUUAUCCUGGCAUAAAGCAGUAUUUUAUACAUUAA